GAUGAACGCUGGCGGCGUGCCUCAAACAUGCAAGUCGAGCGAGGCUAUGAAUUACCGCAAGGUAAGGCAUAGCCUAGCGGCGAACGGGUGAGUAACACGUGGGUAACCUACCUGGAAGACAGGGAUAACGAUUCGAAAGGGUCGCUAAUACCUGAUAAUAUCCCUUUGCCGGAUGGCAGAGGGAAGAAAGGGGAAACCCGCUUUCAGAUGGGCCCGCGUCCCAUCAGCUAGUUGGUAAGGUAAAGGCUUACCAAGGCGACGACGGGUAGCCGGUCUGAGAGGAUGUACGGCCACACUGGGACUGAGAUACGGCCCAGACUCCUACGGAAGGCAGCAGUUGGGAAUCUUAGGCAAUGGACGAAAGUCUGACCUAGCGACGCCGCGUGAGGGAAGAAGGCCUUCGGGUUGUAAACCUCUGUCAUGGGGGAAGAAGGAAGUGACGGUACCCCAAGAGGAAGCCCCUGCUAACUACGUG
rnacentral:rRNA from 1 species